rnacentral:rRNA from 1 species
ACUCCUACGGGAGGCAGCAGUGGGGAAUUUUCCGCAAUGGGCGCAAGCCUGACGGAGCAAGACCGCGUGAGGGAAGAAGGUCUGUGGAUUGUAAACCUCUUUUGAUAGGGAAGAAGACAGUGACGGUACCUAUCGAAUCAGCCUCGGCUAACUCCGUGCCAGCAGCCGCGGUAAUACGGAGGAGGCAAGCGUUAUCCGGAAUUAUUGGGCGUAAAGAGUCCGUAGGUGGGUCACCAAGUCAGUUGUUAAAUAGUGAAGCUUAACUUCAUAGAGGCGACUGAAACUGGUGGUCUAGAGUGUGGUAGGGGUAGAGGGAAUUUCCAGUGUAGCGGUGAAAUGCGUAGAUAUUGGAAAGAACACCGGUGGCGAAAGCGCUCUACUGGGCCUGCACUGACACUGAGGGACGAAAGCUAGGGGAGCGAAAGGGAUUAGAUACCCCUGUAGUCCUAGCCGUAAACGAUGGAUACUAGGCGUUGCCCGUAUCGACCCGGGCAGUGUCGUAGCCAACGCGUUAAGUAUCCCGCCUGGGGAGUACGCUCGCAAGA